UGUUGGAGGCAAAGGUGACAUCUGUGUCCAGGACAAUGACACGGGCCAGGUCAGGGGGCAGGGCGCUGGGCAGCACUAGCUUCAUUAGCCCAUAGAGGCCAGAGUAGUGCUUGUUGGGUAUCCAGGAGACCUGGGGCUGUGGCUCAUCAGCGUUGUAGAAGCUGAUCUGGACAGCAGGCACCAUCCAUGUGUGAAAGAGCAUCUCCAGGAUGUUCCUGGCCACGGCGUCAGUCACCAAGUGGAGGUGCAGUGGAUUUUUCCUUCAGGAAGGACAAGGGAGGAAAGCUGAAGGCCCCAGAAGGAACUACACGGGAGAAGUCCUACCCUUCGAGGGGCUCAGAAGUGGCAGCACCAACUUCUGCCAAGAGCUUUUCUGUACCCAGCUCCGGAUAUUCCUGCAACCACCUUCAAGGGAGGAGAGGGACCCUCCUGGCUGUACCUGUAGAAGAGCAUGGACUUCACCAGGGUGAUGACGUCUCUGCUGGAGUUAUGACCCGCACACACGAUAGCCACCUGCAAGAGCUGGGGAGGGGACACCAGGUCGGCAGCAGCCUCCUCCUCCCCUCGACGAGCUGAAGUGACCUGUUAGAACACCCUCUGGCCCCUCCUGCGGCUCUACCCUGCAGACAGAGUUUCAGAGCUGCUCCUCCAUAAGGGUCUCCUGCCCUAGAAACUGCCCUAGAAUCCUGCCUGGAUUCUGUCAGAUUCUCACAAGGUAGGCCUCUCCUUUCACAUCCCUUGGUUUAUAUUGUUUUCCUAGCACUCCUUACAAGUUGACCUUAUUGACUUGUUUAUAGCCUAUGUCUCCCCUAGAAGGUAGCUGCUCCCUGGACUGGGACCCCAGCACCCAGCCAGGGCCUGUAAGUAUGUGCUGAACAUGGAUGGGACUCACUGGACCUCACUGUGACCUGGAAAGGGUUUCAGGCUGUGUCCUUCAGCCCAGCUUCCAGCUAUAAAAAAUGAGGGUCUGAGAGGCCCCAGCCCCAAAAGAAGUGGUGGCAGAGCAGCCCAGCCUGAGACCCCCUCCCCCCAAGCCUCCUGCUCUGAGGCCAGGAUGCCUUUCUCUGGGAAAUGGGGAGUCUGCAAGGAAGGUCUGGCUUUGGGCCUUUGGAGGCCAGGGGCAGUGGUUACCAUGGAGACUGAUGUGGCUCCUCAAACAUGUAGGAACUGAGAGGACAUGAGGGGAUGUAGGGUCCACCCAUGCGUCUGGGGCUUUGAGCCUCCCGUCCCCUAAUCCUCAUCUCUAGCCUGGAGAUGGGGUGGGUGUGGGUGAAUCCCUCCCCAAGCCCCUCAACAGAGACUGGGGGGGUUAGAUGUAAGAGAGCAGAUAGGGUACAGGGGAGGGCCUGACCAGGGAGUUUGUGGAGGGAGCUGGGUCUGCAGAGUGACGGUAGUCAUUCACAGUGCUGGCCCCACCCCUUGCUCAACCUUACCACUCAGGGGACAUUGAGGUGCUGAGAUGCUUGCUGGGCCUCCGAGAAAUUCUUCUGGGGUGUGGAGGGGGAAAGCGAGAUAGGCAUGGGCAUAUGAAAGGGUGCUGGUCUUCUAGGCCCGAGACCCAGCUCUGCCCAGGACUUCGCUGUGUGACCUUAGACUAGUCAGGCCCCCUCUCUGAGCCUCAAUGUCCACAUCUGAGCUAGACCUGUCAGACUGGUCUAGCUCUCUUCCCCUGUGGUUCAGGGCAGAGUGAAGGAGGCAGGAUCAGGUCCAACCUGCCCAAAGGCCCUUCAAAGCCCAGCCAGGUGACCAAAUCCAGGCAGGGGCCCAGUAGGGCGGGGUUGCCCUGGGAACCUCCUGCACACACGGCCACUCUUUGUCUCUGAGACCUAAUCAGGCACAGGAUCUGAAGAGGAAAUUCAGGCAGCCCUGCUGCUGCCAGCCUGGCUGAGCUCAUGAUCCCUUCCUUCCCAGUCCUGAGGGAGGGAAGAGAAAGAGGCUCCAGCCCCAGUGUCCCUUAUAUUCUGUCCAAGGGGGGGGGGGCGGUGUGCUGCUCCUCUGUCU